rnacentral:rRNA from 1 species
GAUAAUCAUGGAGUAUAAAAAUUAAAUUUAAUAAAUUUAAUAUAACUAUUAAUAGAAUUAGGUUACUAAUAAAUUAAUAACAAUUAAUUUUAAAACCUAAAGGUAAACCUUUAUAUUAAUAAUGUUUUUUUUUUAUUUUUAUAAUUAAGAAUAAUUAUUAAUAAUAAUAAACUAAGUGAACUGAAACAUCUAAGUAACUUAAGGAUAAUAAAUCAACAGAGAUAUUAUGAGUAUUGGUGAGAGAAAAUAAUAAAGGUCUAAUAAGUAUUAUGUGAAAAAAAUGUAAGAAAAUAGGAUAACAAAUUCUAAGACUAAAUACUAUUAAUAAGUAUAGUAAGUACCGUAAGGGAAAAUAUGAAAAUGAUUAUUUUAUAAGCAAUCAUGAAUAUAUUAUAUUAUAUUAAUGAUGUACCUUUUGUAUAAUGGGUCAGCAAGUAAUUAAUAUUAGUAAAACAAUAAGUUAUAAAUAAAUAGAAUAAUAUAUAUAUAUAAAAAAAUAUAUUAAAAUAUUUAAUUAAUAUUAAUUGACCCGAAAGCAAACGAUCUAACUAUGAUAAGAUGGAUAAACGAUCGAACAGGUUGAUGUUGCAAUAUCAUCUGAUUAAUUGUGGUUAGUAGUGAAAGACAAAUCUGGUUUGCAGAUAGCUGGUUUUCUAUGAAAUAUAUGUAAGUAUAGCCUUUAUAAAUAAUAAUUAUUAUAUAAUAUUAUAUAAAUAUUAUAUAAAGAAUGGUACAGCAAUUAAUAUAUAUUAGGGAACUAUUAAAGUUUUAUUAAUAAUAUUAAAUCUCGAAAUAUUUAAUUAUAUAUAAUAAAGAGUCAGAUUAUGUGCGAUAAGGUAAAUAAUCUAAAGGGAAACAGCCCAGAUUAAGAUAUAAAGUUCCUAAUAAAUAAUAAGUGAAAUAAAUAUUAAAAUAUUAUAAUAUAAUCAGUUAAUGGGUUUGACAAUAACCANAUAUAAUAAAGAGUCAGAUUAUGUGCGAUAAGGUAAAUAAUCUAAAGGGAAACAGCCCAGAUUAAGAUAUAAAGUUCCUAAUAAAUAAUAAGUGAAAUAAAUAUUAAAAUAUUAUAAUAUAAUCAGUUAAUGGGUUUGACAAUAACCANUUUUUAAUGAACAUGUAACAAUGCACUGAUUUAUAAUAAAUAAAAAAUAAUAUUUAANAUNNAANAUANANAUAUAUAUAUAUUUGUUAAUAGAUAAUAUACGGAUCUUAAUAAUAAGAAUUAUUUAAUUCCUAAUAUGGAAUAUUAUAUUUUUAUAAUAAUAAUAAAAAUAUAAAUACUGAAUAUCUAAAUAUUAUUAUUACUUUUUUUUUUUUAAUAAUAAUAAUAUGGUAAUAGAACAUUUAAUGAUAAUAUAUAUUAGUUAUUAAUUAAUAUAUGUAUUAAUUAAAUAGAGAAUGCUGACAUGAGUAACGAAAAAAAGGUAUAAACCUUUUCACCUAAAACAUAAGGUUUAACUAUAAAAGUACGGCCCCUAAUUAAAUUAUAUAAGAAUAUAAAUAUAUUUAAGAUGGGAUAAUCUAUAUUAAUAAAAAUUUAUCUUAAAAUAUAUAUAUUAUUAAUAAUUAUAUUAAUUAAUUAAUAAUAUAUAUAAUUAUAUUAUAUAUUAUAUUUUUUUUUAUAUAUAAUAUAUAUAAUAUAAACUAAUAAAGAUCAGGAAAUAAUUAAUGUAUACCGUAAUGUAGACCGACUCAGGUAUGUAAGUAGAGAAUAUGAAGGUGAAUUAGAUAAUUAAAGGGAAGGAACUCGGCAAAGAUAGCUCAUAAGUUAGUCAAUAAAGAGUAAUAAGAACAAAGUUGUACAACUGUUUACUAAAAACACCGCACUUUGCAGAAACGAUAAGUUUAAGUAUAAGGUGUGAACUCUGCUCCAUGCUUAAUAUAUAAAUAAAAUUAUUUAACGAUAAUUUAAUUAAAUUUAGGUAAAUAGCAGCCUUAUUAUGAGGGUUAUAAUGUAGCGAAAUUCCUUGGCCUAUAAUUGAGGUCCCGCAUGAAUGACGUAAUGAUACAACAACUGUCUCCCCUUUAAGCUAAGUGAAAUUGAAAUCGUAGUGAAGAUGCUAUGUACCUUCAGCAAGACGGAAAGACCCUAUGCAGCUUUACUGUAAUUAGAUAGAUCGAAUUAUUGUUUAUUAUAUUCAGCAUAUUAAGUAAUCCUAUUAUUAGGUAAUCGUUUAGAUAUUAAUGAGAUACUUAUUAUAAUAUAAUGAUAAUUCUAAUCUUAUAAAUAAUUAUUAUUAUUAUUAUUAAUAAUAAUAAUAGUGAUAAACAUAUUUAUAUGAUAAUCACUUUACUUAAUAGAUAUAAUUCUUAAGUAAUAUAUAAUAUAUAUUAUAUAUAUAUUAUAUAUAAUAUAAGAGACAAUCUCUAAUUGGUAGUUUUGAUGGGGCGUCAUUAUCAGCAAAAGUAUCUGAAUAAGUCCAUAAAUAAAUAUAUAAAAUUAUUGAAUAAAAAAUAAUAUAUAUUAUAUAUAUUAAUUAUAAAUUGAAAUAUAUUUAUAUAAAUUUAUAUUUAUUGAAUAUAUUUUAGUAAUAGAUAAAAAUAUGUACAGUAAAAUUGUAAGGAAAACAAUAAUAACUUUCUCUUCUUUCGGUGGGGGUUCACACCUAUUUUUAAUAGGUGUUCACUCCUCUUCGGGGUUUCGGUUCUCUUUUGGGUCCCGGAACUAAAUAAUUAUAUUAUAAUUAUGGAAAGAAUUAAAUUAAUAUAAUGGUAUAACUGUGCGAUAAUUGUAACACAAACGAGUGAAACAAGUACGUAAGUAUGGCAUAAUGAACAAAUAACACUGAUUGUAAAGGUUAUUGAUAACGAAUAAAAGUUACGCUAGGGAUAACAGGGUAAUAUAACGAAAGAGUAGAUAUUGUAAGUUAUGUUUGCCACCUCGAUGUCGACUCAACAUUUCCUCUUGGUUGUAAAAGCUAAGAAGGGUUUGACUGUUCGUCAAUUAAAAUGUUACGUGAGUUGGGUUAAAUACGAUGUGAAUCAGUAUGGUUCCUAUCUGCUGAAGGAAAUAUUAUCAAAUUAAAUCUCAUUAUUAGUACGCAAGGACCAUAAUGAAUCAACCCAUGGUGUAUCUAUUGAUAAUAAUAUAAUAUAUUUAAUAAAAAUAAUACUUUAUUAAUAUAUUAUCUAUAUUAGUUUAUAUUUUAAUUAUAUAUUAUCAUAGUAGAUAAGCUAAGUUGAUAAUAAAUAAAUAUUGAAUACAUAUUAAAUAUGAAGUUGUUUUAAUAAGAUAAUUAAUCUGAUAAUUUUAUACUAAAAUUAAUAAUUAUAGGUUUUAUAUAUUAUUUAUAAAUAUAAUAUAAUAAUUAUUAUUAUUAAUAAAAAAAAAAAAUAUUAAU